GAUGAACGCUAGCGGCAGGCCUAAUACAUGCAAGUCGAGGGGCAGCGCGGUAGCAAUACUGGCGGCGACCGGCGCACGGGUGCGUAACACGUAUGCAACCUACCUUCAACUGGAGGAUAGCCCGGGGAAACUCGGAUUAAUACUCCAUAACACAGGGAUCCCGCAUGGGAAUAUUGUUAAAGCUACGGCGGUUGAAGAUGGGCAUGCGUUCGAUUAGCUAGUUGGUGUAGGUAACGGCUCACCAAGGCUACGAUCGAUAGGGGGUCUGAGAGGAUGAUCCCCCACACUGGUACUGAGAUACGGACCAGACUCCUACGGGAGCAGCAGUAGGAUAUGGUCAAUGGGGCGCAAGCCUGAACCAGCCAUGCCGCGUGCAGGAAGAAGGCCCUCUGGGUUGUAAACCGCUUUUGAUAGGGAACAAAUGCCACUUGCGAGUGGAGCUGAGUGUACCUAUAGAAUAAGCACCGGCUAACUCCGUGCCAGCAGCCGCGG
rnacentral:rRNA from 1 species